AACGAACGCUGGCGGCAUGCCUAACACAUGCAAGUCGAACGAGACCUUCGGGUCUAGUGGCGCACGGGUGCGUAACGCGUGGGAACCUGCCCUUAGGUUCGGAAUAACUCCCCGAAAGGGGUGCUAAUACCGGAUAAUGUCUUCGGACCAAAGAUUUAUCGCCUUUGGAUGGGCCCGCGUUGGAUUAGCUAGUUGGUAGGGUAAAAGCCUACCAAGGCGACGAUCCAUAGCUGGUCUGAGAGGAUGAUCAGCCACACUGGGACUGAGACACGGCCCAGACUCCUACGGGAGGCAGCAGUGGGGAAUAUUGGACAAUGGGCGAAGGCCUGAUCCAGCAAUGCCGCGUGAGUGAUGAAGGCCUUAGGGUUGUAAAGCUCUUUUACCCGGGAUGUUAAUGACAGUACCGGGAGAAUAAGCUCCGGCUAACUCCGUG
rnacentral:rRNA from 1 species